rnacentral:rRNA from 1 species
UGGGGAAUAUUGGACAAUGGGCGAAAGCCUGAUCCAGCCAUGCCGCGUGUGUGAAGAAGGUCUUCGGAUUGUAAAGCACUUUAAGUUGGGAGGAAGGGCAGUAAGCGAAUACCUUGCUGUUUUGACGUUACCGACAGAAUAAGCACCGGCUAACUCUGUGCCAGCAGCCGCGGUAAUACAGAGGGUGCAAGCGUUAAUCGGAAUUACCGGGCGUAAAGCGCGCGUAGGUGGUUCGUUAAGUUGAAUGUGAAAGCCCCGGGCUCAACCUGGGAACUGCAUCCAAAACUGGCGAGCUAGAGUAGGGCAGAGGGUGGUGGAAUUUCCUGUGUAGCGGAGAAAUGCGUAGAUAUAGGAAGGAACACCAGUGGCGAAGGCGACCACCUGGGCUCAUACUGACACUGAGGUGCGAAAGCGUGGGGAGCAAACAGG